GUGACCGUGGCGGUGUAAGUGGACGCGGCAGUGGAGGAGGAGGAUGAGAUAGCCAACACUGUUUUUUUAUAUAUAUAUAUUUUUAAUUGGGGUAGCCCCCAAAAUAUUGGGACAUAUAAAAAAAGCCAACUCUGUUCCGCAGAGUAACUCUUGACAUUAUAGUUGCGCAGGCACUUUGUUGACUCUAGAGAACCUCCGACCGAUCGCACAUCCCCGUGGCGGCGACUUUGCAUGCGGAUGUCAUCUAUAUCAACUUUCGAUGCCAGUUUCUGCGCCUACCAUGGUGACCAUGGGUUAACGGGGAAUCAGGUUUCCAUUCAAUACGGUGACCCUGAGAAAAGGCUACCAAAUGCGAGGAAGGCAGCAGGCGCGCAAAUGGCCCACUCCCGACGCGGGAAGGUAGUGACGACAAAUAACAAUACAGGACUCUUUAGAUGCCCUGUAAUUGUAAUGAGUCCACUUGAAAUCCUUUAACUCUGAUCAAUUGGAGGGAAGUCUGGUGCAGAGACACUGACCCGUGCGUGCUGCAGCUGAAACUCCACUAUCGCCUGCUGCUA
rnacentral:rRNA from 1 species